GACUGCGUGGCUCAACUGGAUAGAGCGCCGGGCUUCGAACCCGAAGGUUGCAGGUUCGAAUCCUGCCGCAGUCA
rnacentral:tRNA from 1 species